GUGUGCACCAUCUUCAACCUCUCCUUCUUCCCCCUUGAACCUUAGCCGUCGCGUGCUUUGUGACCUUCUGUCUUCCUCGCCGUUCACUGUUGCAACUUCUGUCCACCGUUCAUCGACAACCAAUCAGUCUUCUCCGUCCAUCGAAGCUGCCCUAAGCUAGGUCAUUUUUCGUCGCGUUUAACCCAAUCAAAGUGUCCUUUCCGUGUCGUUCUCCUUAAGUUCACGAGCCAAACGUUUUUGUCUGCUGUCCUGCGCUAACGUCCUUCAAUCGAACUUCGCCUAGCCCAUUGUUCGGUUGCCGUUCUCCCCUCUCUUAGUUGAGUCACAAAGGGUUCUUUCACACUUUUCUUUCAAUUGUUUGAGCUUUUUUCCCUUGAAGGUUCAAUUGGCUAAAUUGGAAGAAUUACGCAUUAGUUUCAACCUCAAUUUUGGAUUGUAAAGUGUUGAAGCCAAGUGAAGGAUGGAUCCUAGGUGUUGUAGCCUAGUUAAGGAUGGACGAUAGAGUUAUUCUGUAGUCUUAUGUGGCAUGUUAGCCAUGGUAUCUCCUCUUGAGUCUAAGGAGUCGGUUGGAAAGUAAAUUGCUCUUUAGUGUGGAUGGUCUGACUCAGUAGGAAGGCGAGUGCAAUACUAAGAUUGAUGAGGCCAAGCAAGAAGAGCCAGAGAGCUGAAAAGCUGAGUCAAGGAAAAGGUAGCCUUAAACGUGGUUCGUUAAGAGAAGUGGUUGGGCGACCAAGACAAAGGACUAAGUGGCACUAUUACACCUCUAGGUUCUUGCCACAAAGAGUAACGUUUAGCGAUGAAGAAAUAAAAGGAGACUCUAAAGUUAGUCCUUGAGUUAGGUUAUUGAUGACUCGAGGAAAAGGGUCGAGAUCGAAAUUCUUAUACUCCACAAGACCUUGGUGCGAAGAGCGGCACCUUGGUGGAAGAAGGGUGUGAGAAGAUUAGACUUGGUUUUAUUUAUGCACAAUAAAGUUUAAGGGUUACAAUUUGUAAUUCAUGAACCUUGUAAAAGUGUUGAGUUAAUAAAGAGAGUAAGUUUAAUUUA